UGGUGGAGUGAUUUGUCUGCUUAAUUGCGAUAACGAACGAGACCUUAACCUGCUAAAUAGCCCGGCUUACCUUGGUAGGUCGCAGGCUUCUUAGAGGGACUAUCGGCUCAAGCCGAUGGAAGUUUGAGGCAAUAACA
rnacentral:rRNA from 1 species